GACGAACGCUGGCGGCGUGCUUAACACAUGCAAGUCGAACGGAAAGGCCCUGCUUUUGUGGGGUGCUCGAGUGGCGAACGGGUGAGUAACACGUGAGUAGCCUGCCCUUGACUUUGGGAUAACUUCAGGAAACUGGGGCUAAUACCGGAUAGGAGCUCCUGCUGCAUGGUGGGGGUUGGAAAGUUUCGGCGGUUGGGGAUGGACUCGCGGCUUAUCAGCUUGUUGGUGGGGUAGUGGCUUACCAAGGCUUUGACGAGUAGCCGGCCUGAGAGGGUGACCGGCCACAUUGGGACUGAGAUACGGCCCAGACUCCUACGGGAGGCAGCAGUGGGGAAUAUUGCACAAUGGGCGGAAGCCUGAUGCAGCAACGCCGCGUGCGGGAUGACGGCCUUCGGGUUGUAAACCGCUUUCGCCUGUGACGAAGCGUGAGUGACGGUAAUGGGUAAAGAAGCACCGGCUAACUACGUG
rnacentral:rRNA from 1 species